AACCAUGCAGAUCCACGGAAUCUAACAGAUGUCUCAGAAUUCCUCCUCCUGGAACUCUCAGAGGAUCCAGAACUGCAACCUGUCCUCGCUGGGCUGUUCCUGUCCAUGUACCUGGUCACCGUGCUGGGGAACCUCCUCAUCAUCCUGGCCAUCAGCUCUGACUCCCACCUCCACACCCCCAUGUACUUCUUCCUCUCCAACCUGUCCUUGGCUGACAUCGGUUUCACCUCCACCACCGUCCCCAAGGUGAUUGUGGACAUCCAAACUCACAGCAGAGUCAUCUCCUAUGUGGGCUGCCUGACUCAGAUGUCGCUUUUUGCCGUUUUUGGAGGCAUGGAAGACAUGCUCCUGAGUGUGAUGGCUUAUGACCGGUUUGUGGCCAUUUGUUACCCUCUGUAUUAUCCAGUCAUCAUGAACCCAUGUUUCUGUGGCUUCCUAGUUUUGUUGUCUUUUUUCUCAGUCUUUUAGACUCCCAGCUGCACAACUGGAUUGCCUUACAAAUUACCUGCUUCAAAGAUGUGGAAAUUCCCAAUUUCUUCUGUGACCCCUCUCAACUCCCCCACCUUGCCUGUUGUGACACUUUCACCAAUAACAUAGUCAUGCAUUUCCUUGCUGCCAUAUUUGGUUUUCUUCCCAUCUUGGGGAUCCUUUUCUCUUAUUAUAAAAUUGUUUCCUCCAUUCUGCGGGUUCCAUCAUCAGGUGGGAGGUAUAAAGCCUUCUCCACCUGUGGCUCUCACCUGUCAGUUGUUUGCUUAUUUUAUGGAACAGGCGUUGGAGGGUACCUCAGUUCAGACGUGUCCUCUUAUCCCAGAAAGGGUGCAGUGGCCUCAGUGAUGUACACGGUGGUCACCCCCAUGCUGAACCCCUUCAUCUACAGCCUGAGAAACAGGGACAUUCAAAGUGCCCUGCGGCGGCUGCAAGGCAGAAUACUCUAA